rnacentral:rRNA from 1 species
ACUCUCUGUAACCUUAUAAACACCCACUAAAUAAAACACUUAAACAUCUAUUCCUAAUUACAAUCUAUUUUAAGUACUGAAAAGGAAAUGUCAAUAAUUUUAAGUAGUGAAUAACCCACGUACCUUGUGCAUUAUGGUUUUACAAGCCAAUAAUUAAAAAUAACUUCCCGAAUUCUAUGCGAGCUGCUCCCACAUAGCUUAGAGCCCACUACUAGUUGUAGCACCAACUUUAGAAAAUGUGUUAGCAGAGGCUACAUACCACACGCGCUAGAAAAUUGCUGGUUCUCGAUAAAAUUUAUUAAUUAAAACAUAUAGUAUAAUCUAUAGUGUAAGAUUUUAGAGGAUAAGCCCUAAAACCAAACGCUAAUUAAUUUAUGUUUAUACUCAAAUAGGCCUAAAAACAGCCAUUUACAGUACUUUUCCGUACUACCCAAAUAAUAAAUAACAUAGCUGCCCUUAAAAAAUUGAGAUUUAAGUAAAAUAUUAAACCUUAAAAUAUUAUGUAAAGAUAAGUAUUAGAAAUUUAAAUAACUUUAAACCUACAAUAGCUUCAACAAAUACCAAAUAAAAACUUAUAAAGGAACUCGGCA